rnacentral:rRNA from 1 species
CAGCCGCCGCGGUAAUACGUAGGGUGCGAGCGUUAAUCGGAAUUACUGGGCGUAAAGCGUGCGCAGGCGGUUCGUUAAGACAGAUGUGAAAUCCCCGGGCUUAACCUGGGGGCUGCGUUUGAUACUUGAUUGCUAGAGUGGGGAAGAGGGUCGUGGAAUUCCCAGUGUAGAGGUGAAAUUCGUAGAUAUUGGGAAGAACACCGGUGGCGAAGGCGGCGACCUGGUCCUUGACUGACGCUGAGGCGCGAAAGCGUGGGGAGCAAACAGGAUUAGAUACCCGCGUAGUCCCUGUCUCUUAUAC